rnacentral:misc_RNA from 1 species
UGAACUUGCGUGCUUCCUUCUGCACUCCCUUUUGGUUUCCUCUUCUUUGAGCUCAUCACCGCCGUUUGACUGCCGCGGGCAUUGGCGCUACCGCUUUCCUCACUCUUCCUCCCCUCAGCAUUUUUUUCGUACACACGCGCGCGCACGAGAAAGAGGCGCGCGCCGACAGAGCAGCCUUUCUGGACUCUCCGAUAACUAAACGCAACCCCCCCUCCCCCCAAUGCCAAAGAACACCGACCAGGAGGAGUGGGAGGAUUACGGCGACGAGGAGGUGCAGGAUGAGGAGGAGGAGGACACCACCAUCAACAACUCCGACGUGGUGGUGCGCUACAAGAAGGCCGCCACGUGGUGCAAUGAAACGUUGCGCGUGCUUAUCGAUGCCACAAAACCUGGCGCCAAGGUGUGCGACUUGUGCCGCCUCGGUGAUGACACCAUCACCGCCAAGGUCAAGACGAUGUUCAAAGGCACGGAAAAAGGCAUCGCCUUCCCCACCUGCAUCUCGGUCAACAACUGCGUAUGCCACAACAGCCCUGGAGUGUCAGACGAGGCGACGCAGCAAGAGAUUGCGAUGGGUGACGUCGUGCACUACGACCUGGGCAUCCACGUGGACGGCUACUGCGCCGUCGUCGCGCACACCAUUCAGGUGACAGAGGACAACGAGCUCGGCAAGGACGAGAAGGCGGCGCGGGUCAUUACAGCGACGUACAACAUCCUGAACACGGCGCUGCGCCAGAUGCGUCCCGGUGCGACCAUCUACCAGGUGACAGACGUAGUUGAGAAGGCUGCGGAGCACUACAAGGUGACUCCGGUGGACGGCGUCCUUUCGCACAUGAUGAAGCGCUACAUCAUAGACGGAUACCGUUGUAUCCCGCAGCGCAGGGUCGCGGAGCACAUGGUGCACGACUACGAUCUCGAGAAGGCGCAGGUUUGGACGCUAGACAUUGUUAUGACCUCCGGCAAGGGCAAGCUUAAGGAGCGCGAUGCGCGGCCGUGCGUGUUCAAGGUGGCUCUGGACUCCAACUACUCUGUGAAGAUGGAAAGCGCGAAGGAGGUUCAGAAGGAAAUCGACUCCAAGUAUGCUACCUUCCCGUUUGCCAUCCGCAACCUGGAGGCCAAGAAGGCCCGCCUCGGUCUCAACGAGAUGGCGAAGCACGGCGCUGUCAUCCCGUACCCUAUUCUCUUCGAAAAAGAAGGCGAGGUCGUCGCCCAUUUCAAGAUUACGGUGCUCAUCAGCAACAAGAAGAUUGAGCCGAUCACCGGCCUGAAGCCGCAGAAGGCCCCGGCGCUCGAACCGUACACGGACGAGAUGCUGCUUGCGACGAACAAGCUCUCGCUGUCGCUAGAGAAGAAGGCGGCAAAGUAGACGGCCGUGGCAUCCGUGACGCUGUACUGCGAGCUUUCGUAGGCGCACGUCUCUUGUGAGGCGUACACUUGUGCUGUUUGCAGACGAGGCACCCACUCUGUUCCCCUCCUUCCUGCUCCCUUUCUUCGCUAAUCUCCGCGUUUUCUCUGACGAUGACGUCUCUGCCGGAGUGUGGUGAGGCGCGUGAGGGAGAAACUGCCCACGCGCCUGCCUGUGCAUACGCGAGCACGGUAGGGAGCGCGGUGGGGGGGCGUGUCACGAGUACGAAGCAGGCUCGAUCUCUGCGACUCUUUUCUUUCUGUAAACAGGAACGUAAGCAACCAACACGCAAAAUAAAAAUGAAGUGCGUAUUCAUCGUUGGCCGGGUACGCGCGCGCGCGUCUCCUCCGUCUCUCAUUGAAAGGGGCGGAGGGAGGAUGGCGGGGGGAGGGGCGCAGAGAGCGAUCGUGCCUGUGCGUGUUGAGUGGGUGGGGACUAUGCAGAGCGCAUUGGAACGGCGGAGAACGGAGGGGGAAGGGCUCGGCAAUUGUGUGUCGCCAGCGCUUUCUCCCUCUUUCCCUCCCUCGUGUACCCCCCUCUCUCUCUGCCUUUCUCCUCUGCUUCUUUUGCUGUCUCCCCUUUCACUCAUCACGUGUGUCUCUGUAUGACGCCUGCGUGUACCUGUCUGCGUACGUACAUACGUGUGUUGGUGUGUGUGUGUGUUAAGAGUGCAAUGCGGACGAGUCUUCCUAAGAAGGCAUGAAGUGCACGAGCAAGAAGCCAAUCAAACCCCAGACAAAAAAAUAUGAUCACAAGCAGCGCACAACGAACUACCUACACGGCUAUACGGCAUGGAGAGUGCUAAAAAUGUGUGUUGGUAUGCGCGGCUUCUGCCCAUUGUGUGCGUGGGUGUGCGUGCGCGUGUUGCUCGUGAGGCGAUACCCGACGGCGCAACCACAGGGUGCAAAAGGGAGCCAAAAAAAAAGGAGGUGGCCUGUGACCAUCUUACCGCCAUCUUCACGGUCAUUCACAAGGACUCCUUUGCUUCGCUACAUUUUAC